rnacentral:rRNA from 1 species
GACGAACGCUGGCGGCGUGCCUAAUACAUGCAAGUCGAGCGAAGCGGCGGAUGGGUGAGUAACGCGUGGGUAACCUGACCUUAAGACUGGGAUAACAUAUGGAAACAGAUGCUAAUACAGGAUACUAAAGGAUGGACCUGCGAUGCAUUAGAUAGUGGGUAAGGUAACGUCUUACCAAGGCGAUGAUUCAUAGCCGGGUUGAGAGACUGAUCGGCCCCAUUGGGACUGAGACACGGCCCAAACUCCUACGGGAGGCAGCAGUGGGGAAUAUUGCACAAUGGGCGCAAGCCUGAUGCAGCCAUGCCGCGUGUAUGAAGAAGGCCUUCGGGUUGUAAAGUACUUUCAGCGAGGAGGCGUUACUCGCAGAAGAAGCACCGGCUAACUCCGUGCCAGCAGCCGCGGUAAUUC